UACGUAGGGUGCAGGCGUUGUCCGGAUUUAUUGGGCGUAAAGAGCGUGUAGGCGGCCAUACAGGUCAGCUGUGAAAACUCGAGGCUCAACCUCGAGACGUCGGUUGAAACCGUAUGGCUAGAGUCCGGAAGAGGAGAGUGGAAUUCCCGGUGUAGCGGUGAAAUGCGCGGAUAUCGGGAAGAACACCCGUGGCGAAGGCGGCUCUCUGGGACGGUACUGACGCUGAGACGCGAAAGCGUGGGGAGCGAACAGG
rnacentral:rRNA from 1 species